rnacentral:lncRNA from 1 species
GCCAAACAUUGUUUUCAAAUACAGUUGGCUUGAAAAUGAGCACUUGAAGCUGCAAGCUUGUCGGCAAACUACCAUGAUUUUCAGCUUUUGAGGAACGAGCUGCACUCCAGUCUUUUCUGUGAGCUGUUGUUGGAGGUGGCUGAUGUAUUGAUCCCCAAACAGAGAAUGAGGACAGAAUUUGCAACUGCAGAGCCCAGAGAAGAAGUGAGAGCAAAGGGAACCAGGACCAGAACCAUGCUGGGGAUUGGUACAAAAAGAGUGAAGAAUGCUGUGUCCAAUGAGGCAGAGGAGAAAUACCUACAGAACAAGAAUUGUGCUGCAAGUACCUUUUGUGAAAUGGUCCAUGGGUUAUUUGAUCAUGUACAUUUUAGCUUUAUACCUCAACAGACACAUGUUGGUUUUUGACCUGGACCAAAAAUGAUUUUUUUCAAGGGAUGUAGCUCUCCUGGUGAAUUCUCAGAACCUGGGAUCUUUCCUCUGCAAUUCUCCUUCCCAGGUACUGACACAGCAUUAUUCUUUAUCAAAUCACAGCUAACACUUCCACAGUGAAAGAAAUAUAAUUGCAAACCAGCUGAAAAUUAAUGUUAUAGUCUUA